AGUAUUUAUCUCUGCUCAUUUAAAGUACACUUAAAAUUUCAUGACAGUACUCAAUAAAAUCUGGUAGUGGUUAUCUUGGGUGAUAGAACAUUAUGAGGUAUCAUUUCCUGAACACAAUAAAAGAAUCUUAAAGUCUUGCAUGAAAUUGCUUUUAUAUGCUACUGAUUAAAUGGUUAUUUCUGAACUUUUUGAAUGUAUAACCUCUUUCAUAAUAUUGCACGAUUUUGACACCCCAAGAAUUUAAGCUUAUUUUCUGGUUUUCCAUGGCAUGUUAUAAAUAUAUUUUAGCAAAAACAACCUUUCAGAAUUGCUGUAUUUUAUUCUCAAAUUUUGACGUAAUGGUUAGUGUUGUCAAUUUAAUGGGAUCUGAAAUACACUAAGGUAUUUCUAUGGGUAUUUCUCUAGGGGAAAUUUCCAAGAAGGUUUACUGAGGAAGAAGUCAUUCUACAAGAGUGGGCAGCUCCUUCUAGCCUCAGCCCACAUACAAAGAAGAUAGGUUGCAGGAGAAAACCGUCUUCCUGCUUUGCCUCUCGUUGAUGACUACAGCUAUCCUACUGUUGUUACUGCAGCUGACGUCCUUCACAGAUACCAAAAUACAUAAUCUUUCUUCUCCCGUGGACUGAAGAACUUGGAUUCUUCAGGGAUCUCCCAGGCCUUCAAAAUGUACUGUGUGCAUUGAGCUGCUUCUGGGUUAUCAACCUGCCAGUGUGCAGCCAUUUUGGAUCAUCCAGCCCAUAGCAUUGCUUGAGCAGUGUGAAAUAUCUGUGAAGGAGAGCUGUAAGCAGCAGGCGGUCAGCACAGGAGAGAGGUCACCUGACCUGCCAAUAACAACCUGUAUCAUUCAACCGCACGCUCCAAUACUGAACAUGAAGGUACAGAAUUUGUUUUUUUUUUUUUAAGGUUUUUAGUAUCUUUCUGUAGUUUGUGUAUAGGGAAGUAGGCUUGGAUUGGAGAUCAGAAGAUAACUUGUAAGAGAUAUUUUUUCUGCUAUGUGUGUCCUGUGAAUUGGACCCAGGCUGUGAGCUUCUGUGACAGGUGUCUUUACCCACUAAGCCACUUGUUAACCUGGGGCUAGAGAAUUUAAUAUUUGACCUCCGUUGUAGUCUUGAUAUUGUGGGGAUGUUCCCUCAAUGUCACUGUAUGUGGGAAUCACUUAGCUACCUUUGUAAAUUUUGCAGGUGUAUAGAUACACUAGCUUGCUUUGAUUGUUCAGAGGAGGCUUUGUACUUGCACUUCUGAGCAGUAAUGGAAUUGCUAUGACUCUGGGUACUCCUGAAGCUUAGCCUAAUACAUUAUGGAUGGACUAAGGACUUUGGCAGCAGAACAUGGUUUUUGAUAUCAGGUUGACUUAAGAUGCCUAACCUUGAUGUCAACUGAACUGGAUUAAGAGAUUAGUGAAGUUCACCCCGUGUGUCUGCAAAUCAGUUUCCAGAGUGUAUUGUCUGAGGUGGGGGAGGGGAGCACCUUGAAUGUGAAUGACAUUAUCUAAUGGGGUGGGAACCCAGACGGAAUAAAAUGGAAAGGAGGAACUCACCAGCACACUAUAUUCUCUUGGUUCCCGGGCUGUUGAGGGCUGAGAAGUUCUCUUGCACUAUGCCCUUCUGCCAUGAUGUACUGUCUCAGUAAAGCAACAGAGAAAUGAGUCAGGGACUGUGAAUAGAGACCUCUGCAACUGUGAGCCAAAAUAAUUCCUUCCCUUUGAGUUGUUUGUGCCGGGUAUUAGUCAUGGUGAAGAAAAUUCUCCUUAACACAGUAAGCUUGGAUACAUUUGUUUUAAAAAUCUUUUGAAUGCCCCGAGACACUGACUUUCUGUUAUGUCUACCCUGGAGAACUUCAGUUCCUGUUUCCUUCCAGUCAUCAAAUGUGAAGAGAUCCUACUACAUACUAGAUGAUCAGCAAUUGUUGGCAUGGGACUCUGAUGAAAACUGAGAACUGAAGAUUCUGAUAAAGAUGCUCAUUUCCAAUCUGCAGAUGUUUUUCGAUGCUAAAUGCUUCAGCAUUUGGAUUUUACAGCAUCUGGAAAUGUUCUUUAAGAAAGGACUCUGUGUCCAAACCAUGAAGCUGAGUCCUAAGGGGAUCAAAGUGAGCUGGGAGGAGUGCCUCAGAUGGGCAGGCAGCAUCAACUUUCAGACUACAAUGCAGUCUAAAAUGGAGGCGGUUAAAGGUAAAGUUAGCCUAAGUCCUAGCCAAUUGACAACCGUAGGUUUCUGGAAGAGAGAGCGAGAGGUUCGAUAGAUUAGCAACGAGUCUAGAGGAAUGGUAAUGGAUUAGACAGAAUGGCUAAAAGGGACAGCAAGGAAGAACAAGGGGAACCCUGGGACUAUAACAUGAGGUCGAAUCUCAUGGUUGAAGACCUCUUUAAUCAUUCAGUAGUAUUUGGCACAGAUUCCUGGGCUAAAAUAUAUGCUAUGGUUCUGUAGUCUGACUGGUAAGAGUCA
rnacentral:sRNA from 1 species